UGCUGUGUUUAGCUAGGCAGUCUAUUGCUGUGUUUAUCCAAGCAGUCUAUUGCUGUGUUUAUCCAAGCAGUCUAUUGCUGUGUUUAUCCAAGCAGUCUAUUGCUGUGUUUAUCCAAGCAGUCUAUUGCUGUGUUUAUCCAAGCAGUCUAUUGCUGUGUUUAUCCAAGCAGUCUAUUGCUGUGUUAUUUCCUAUACCACUUCAUGCUAUGUAGCUGCUGUAUCACUUGUUAACAUCUGUUGCUGUAUUGAGGCUAUUUAUCUGAUAGACUCUGUAUACUGCUCAUUGAUUUAUUGUUAUUCUGGGUUACUUUAUUCUGUUUUCUCACUCUGCUGUAUGGGGAAUGGGUGCCCCUGCUAUGAUGCUUUGGCUCUGCCUGUAAUCUGUUCCCCCUCCCCUCCCCGGGUUCCCCUGCUGGGCUCUGUCGCCCAUACCCUUCUCCCUUAUUCCCCACCUGCUCCCCGUGGCCCCUGGCCGCUUGCAGUGCCGCACGAUCACCACGCGGUAGGCCGCGCUCUGUUUUUGCAGCCACGGCAGCCAUUUUGUUGGAGCCGUGGCGGCCAUUUUUCAGAGCCACAUGGGCUCUGUGCGUUGCGAACAGCCAGGUCUCACCCAAGAACUGGCCUGCUGGCCAUGUGGCCACCCUCCUCUCUCCCUAUAUCAAGGAAGAUAGCCCAGUUUUUCAGCUAUCCCUCUACUUACUGUGCCUGUCUCACAUGCUGCAUAUGUAACAGAUCCUGGAUAGCAGAAUCUGUCCCAGGCAUGCUCACAACUGCAGCUUACUAUGUCUGAUGCAAUGUGACUAGGUUCUCUAUCUUAGCAGUAGACUUGUCACACUUUUUUUUACUAUUACAUGUGAAUCUCAGAUUUAAAGGGACAUGUUACUGCUCAAAUAAAAAUCUUUGUUUAACAAGAAUGUGCCACAUGUGUUUAUGCUAAUCAAGUCUUCCUCUAAGGUUCAGUCUUUUUCUCAUAAAAAUUAAUGGCCUGUUUUUCAGCACCUAGCUCCCCUGCCUAGGAUUUGCUGCCCUUCCUGCAAGGGACUUAAAAUUUUCCACUACACAUACACUUCAAAAGUGUAUCCUAAUAUAAUACCCGAGUGGUCUGUGAGUCAGCUUCUCGCUAUAUGGACCCUCCUACCCCUCAGUGGGGCUACUGGCCUCACAUUCAGACCUGUUAUUACUGGGGGGUGAACCCCCCCAUCCAUAUUUCUGGGGCUCUCCCUGCUACUGGACCAUAAUAAUGGACGUGUGACACCAUUGUGGGCUGGGUGACCCCCUCCCUCUGGCAACAUGGCUACCUAUGAGUACCCUGCUGGCUCUACAGCGUCCUGUAAGAUUAAUGCUGAGGGUGACCCCCUCCUGCUUCCUAUACUAAUGCUCCAGCAAUGUCCUGCUAUUAUCAUACCGAGGGGGUACCCCUCCUGCAGUCCGCACUGAGGGUACCCCUCCCACUGAUUGAGCUUCUGUUCUUACAGUGCCCUGCAAUACGCAGAUACUGAGGGUGACCCCCUCCUGUGGACUACUCUGCUGGACCUACAGGGUCCCGUUAUAACCAUAAUGAGGGUGACCCCCCCUCGCUGACUACACUGCUGGGUGUACAGACCUCUAUGAUACCACACUGAGGGUGACCCCCUCUUACCUACAGCACUGCUGGAUCUGCAAUGCCCGGUUCUGGUUAUAUGAGGGUGACCCCCUCCUGCCGUCUACACUGCUGGACCGGCAAUGUUUGGUUACUUUAUUAUACGGCUAACCACUUCGGCACUACUGUACCUACAGUGUCCGAUUAUGUUCAGACUGAGGGUGACCCCCUCCCCUGCUGGCCUAAACUGCAUGGUAUGCUUGUGCUUGUUGGGUGACCCCCUCUUGCACGCUGGGUGACCCCCAGCUGGCCGCACCACUGUACCUACAGUGUCCGAUUAUGUUCAGACUGAGGGUGACCCCCUCCCCUGCUGGCCUAAACUGCAUGGUAUGCUUGUGCUUGUUGGGUGACCCCCUCUUGCACGCUGGGUGACCCCCAGCUGGCCGCACCACUGUACCUACAGUGUCCGAUUAUGUUCAGACUGAGGGUGACCCCCUCCCCUGCUGGCCUAUACUGCAUGGUAUGCUUGUGCUUGUUGGGUGACCCCCUCUUGCACACUGGGUGACCCCCAGCUGGCCGCACCAGGUAUCAUUUGUGCAAUCACGGCUGAAGGACAGGACACCACAAACACCUGACACGGGGUUUGCACUCUAUCGGGGACUAACCAGUGGGUGUCGGUGACACGCGGAAACAGAUGUUUCCUUGGGACGAACGGCACGUUACCGCUUGGAAAGCGGAGAAGACUAAAUUCCCACUGGGAACGGACCGAUAUGACUUAUAGGUAUCGCCUAGUUGGUUUCUAUCCCUGAGAACCGCAAAACGGCCCCUGUCCAAGCUGGACAUCAAACUGAUGGAUUUAGCAUCCAAGUGCUGGGUCUGCUCUCCGGAGUUACCCUCGUCUACAAAUUGAGCCGACAUGUCUCUAUUCAUAGGGUUCCCCCUUAACUAGCCCAGAGGUCUCUCUGGCCGUGCCCGGACUCCAGAUCAAGGUUGCGGAACCUUGGACCGUUCCAUGAGCGAUACGCAUGACCAAAAGAGGCAUCCAUUCCGCAGUUGCCCUGCUGGGCAAAGGGUGCGGCGGAGUGGACUCCCGCCCCAUCCCCACGCUACAUGCUCCCAGUGCAUGUCGUCUGUUGACACAUUUUGAGACGGAGGGCACUCAUCCCCUCUGAGAGCUGCUCGGCGUUGACGAUUGGUUCUCUCCCUCAAAUGCACAUGAGAGAAACCCGCAUGGAUUUUGCCAUCUACAUGGACAUAUUGAAUCUGACUCACUCCAAGUCAACCCAGUUUCCGGUCUUUCAUGGAAUAUUCGGUCCAGGCGGUGCUCCGCCUCCCGAGGACCAAGAUGUCCGUCUUCAAGGAAAAUACCAGGUAUAUGCUUCGCAACCUGCGGGUUACACUUAGGGGCCCAACCCGGUUAAUUGACCGGUGCCUAUUCGCCAUGGAAGCCAUACCUCAAGGAUCCGGAUCAGCCGCUCCAACAUGGCGCUUUCUCGGGUCUUUGGCCUGGUAUGACCAAAUCAUGUGACCUUCGGAUGAAGCUCAUCUAAGACUUAUUUGAUGACUCCGGAGGAGGGACUCCUUUACGCCAACUGCAUGGAACUACCUGCAGGUUUGUUCAAAAUUCACAGUAUUGCUCGCUACCUUCCGGCAUGGACUUCUCACCGGUUGCCCACUACGGACUGCAGUCGGAUCUCACAUAGGAUCGCUAUCUAUAGCUUCUGGACAAGUAUUCGUCAUUUGUGACAGAAUGUAUGCGGGACGAGACACUUGUGUGGCGGACGGCUUCACCCGGCCAUGGAGAGACCCCAAUGUUUGGUUGCCUCACCCUCCAGGGUCUCGAGUACUGGCAUGAUUACAUUCGGUGCGAACCGCCAUAUGGAGCGGUUCUCCAACUGGCUGCCGGACCCUCAGCGAGGCGAGGGACGAGUUUUCCAAGCUUGGUCUCCUUCGGGGCGUACGCAUCCCGUUUACCUACAGGAUACUCUGGGUUUUUGCUUCAGACCGAAUUCCUGGAAGUGUCGUUUCGCCUGGCCAAACCACUUCGGAGGAGUCCUGCGUGCUCUCCCCUUUUUGCUCGAGUUUGCCAUGGGAAGGCAAUCUACGACUCCCUGUCUCUUAAUGUCCCACUUGGGAUCCACAGGGGUAGCCUGCCACGACUUAUGUUUGGGUCCCAAUGGCGGUCCUUAUCAUGGCUGUCCCCAUUGUCUGGCUGAGUUGCCCUCUCAGGGUAGGAUCGUAUGGGGCCAUUCACGUCCUAUGUCAGCUAGUGGACGACUCAUGUGCGUUUCUCAAGAUUCUGGCAUUGCUAAGGAUCUCUUGGUCUGCAGUCUACCAAGAGGAGUAUACCGUACGGGAGCCCUAUCUCUUGACAGUUUUUUCCGCUUACGGUUUCCCCCCAGUACAUCUUGUAUUUCAUCGCGUUCUGACGUCAUGGUAUCGACGUGUCUUCUUCCUUCUUGCCGUUCAGUACAUCGGCUUCUGCACAACACAUAUUUCAUUUUUAUUCGUCCUCUGUGUCGUACCCCUAUUCUCCGGAUAGGCCACAGCUCUGUUGACAGAUUGUACACGACCAUGUAGAUCCAGGAUCUGGCUCUUUCGUCCGUCUACUCAUGGACAGCUGUUUAUUUCUGCGUAUGGCCGUUUUGGACUGUUUCUGCAUCUUCGCUCGCCCGUUGGAUUUGGUGGAUCCUCUCAUUGACUGACCUUGAGUUCCUCUGUGACACUUUUGGUUCGGGGUGCUGUCACCUCAACAAUUUUGGAAGCCGUUGGGUCCCUUCUGCAUUUUCUCUACACCGCUGCUUUGUUUAGGGAAUCAGUUUUUCCAUUCUCCUUUUAUUUCAGUCCUCUAUCUCAUAUUGCUUCUGGUUCUACUAUUUGGGCGUUAAAAUUGCAAAUAUGAAGCCUCCUGUCCUGCCAUAAAAUUAGGGAUUAUUCUAGCCUCGGUGAGGGAAUAAUCUAAAUUUUAUUAAAGACAGGAGGCGAAUAUUUCCCCCCCUUUUUUUACGUUCCCUCCCUGGAUCUGGGUUUUAUUCUAUUAUAAAUAAUU